GCUCAGAGUAUAAGCCAAUGGAGCUUGGAAGGCUUCCGCAGAUGGUGUCCAUCAUACGUGGUGUUCUUAAGACCUUGAGUGUGGCUCGUCAGGCGAAGCAUUGAGUUUGCCGGGUAGCUGUCGUGCGGGGGUUCGGCUUGGAGGUCUCAGGCUUCGGCCGAAGGGCUUCCGGCUGUCCCCUUUUGAAUGGACGUUCAGAGCUCUUGUGUCUAAUGCGGUUAUGCCCACCACAGCACGUUGUGAGGUCACCCACAGGCUCAAACUGCCGAUCGCGCAUCCAGGACGAUGGCAACGAUGCGUUGUUGAUGGAGACAGAGACUUCACUCACACGCGUGUCUAGUCCUGGGUCGGGCGGCGACCGAGAUAAACCUGGUAUGAUCCUCUUGCGACGAGCUGCUUUCUGGCCAGACCGACGUCCAGGCGCUUCCACUGUGCCGGAAGCGUCUAUCCCAGGCGGUGUGAACCCAGCUGCAUUAUGCAAGGUCUCUCAGCCGGGCGUUGGUCUGAGUGGUGUUAAGUCCAGCACCAUCGGUCACGUCUCGAAACACGGGCCAAGGAGUAUAGCAUGUGUGCAAGUCUAAGGGUCUCACAAAACCCGAAGGCGAAGUGAAAGCAAGACUGUGGCGGGGGAGCUACGGCAAACCCGCCGGCCUAGUGUGGCGCUUGCGUCACCUGGCUUUUAGCAGAGCUGAUCCUGUUUAUCGGUUAAUUCUUGGUGCAGGCGCAAGCUCCGGGCUCACGUACAACACUGGUCACGCCUCGCG
rnacentral:rRNA from 1 species